CUUCAUCUGAUCGAUGAAAUGCUUCAAAGGCAUGUUCCUGUAGAUCACUACAUAUUGAGUAUUGCGAUUGAUUGCUAUUGCCGACUGAAAAGACCUGAUUUUGGGUUUGCGAUCUUAGGCAUUUUUUUCAAGCGUGGGUACGAGCCUACUGUGGUAACCUUCAACAUUCUCGUGAAGGGCCUUCUGUUUGUUGAAAGGAUCCCAGAGGCAGCUAAAUUGUUGGGGAAGCUGUCGGCCUACCAACUGUGCAAGCCCGAUGAGUAUACAUAUAUUACUAUAAUUAAUGGGUUAUGCAAAGCAGGAGAUAUUCUAGAGGCGAUUGAUUUGCUCUGCUCAUUGGAAAAAGGAAAAGGGAGCUGCAAACCCGGUGUCUAUGGUUACAGUCCGGUCAUUGAUGGUCUAUGCAAGAACGGAAAGGUGGACGAAGCCCUCCAACUCUUCUUCACUUUGGGUGAUAGGGGGAUUUCACCGGAUGUCGUGACAUAUAAUUCAAUAAUUGAGGGCUUAUGCAAGAUGAGAAGAGUGGACGAGGCUCAAGACAUUUUAAGGAAGAUGAUUGCUAAUAAGGUCUGCCCAAAUGUGUGGACGUAUAAUAUCUUUGUGGAUGCUUGGUGCAAAGAUGGAAAAGUGGAAGAGGCCGAGCAUAUAUUGGUAAAAAUGAAGGAGAUUGAUGUUCAACCCAACAUUGUCACUUAUACUGCAUUGAUCAAUGGAUAUUGUUUACAAGGAAAAAUGGAGGAAGCCGGACGCAUUUUCCAAUUGGCAUUGAAUUCUGGAAUCAAGCCCGAUAUCAUAAGCUACAGUAGCAUGAUGAAUGGGUAUUGCAAAAUCGGGCGAGUCGAUGAAGUUCUACGUCUUUUACCAAAUUGCCUAAAGUGUGACAUACAAUGUUUUUGUUCAAGGUCUUCUCAAAUCGAACAAGGCGCAAGAUGCAAUUCUGUUGUUGGAAGAGAUGCAAGCUCUAGGGUUGUCUCCUGAUGUGAAGACUUACAAUAUCUUGUUGGAUGGUCUGUGCAGUGCUCAUCGUAUCACUGAAGCAUUUUCCAUAUUGCACACUAUGGAAGGUAAAGGCAUCGUUCCAGACAUAGUAACAUUCAAUAUUCUCAUUGUGGGAUUGUGCAACGACAACAAAGUCAGAGAAGCAAAAGAUCUAUUUGACAAACUUCCAUCCAAAGGUUUGCAGCCUGACGUCAUAACUUAUACAAUCCUUAUCGGUGCACUUUGUGAGGAAGGGCAGAUAGAGGAGGCUAAGGAUUUGAUGACGCAAAUGGUAAACAACGGUUGCUUGCCUGAUAGUGUAACAUACAAUGUUUUUGUUCAAGGUCUUCUCAAAAUGAACAAGAUGCAUGAUGCAAUGCCACUGUUGGAAGAGAUGGAUUCAAGGGGAUUCACACUUGACAAAACUGCAUAUUCGAUGUUGAUUGAACCUGUGAAAAGGGAAGGUAAAGAUAGUGUUCUGUUUAAUAAGGUUAAGAAACUCGUACCAAAGGACUUCUAUUCUAGUUAGGUUUUAUGUUGUGUUUGAAGGUCAAGAAUUAUUGCAAUAGAGAUUAAGGGGAAAGUACAAUUGCUUAUUUGUUUAUUUAAUCUUUAUGUUAUGAUGAUUUAAAAAUGCUUCAAUUUUGUAGUUGUGAUGUUGUUUAUUUAAUCUCUAUGUUUUCUACAUAUAAUGAAGUGCCUCUCUCUCUCUCUCACCUAUGACACACAUUUGUAGUAGUAGGCGCUGUCGUUUACUUGAAUUGGGAGUUGCUGAGCUAUGCCCCUUGACUUGCAACUUCUGCAUUCAUUGUAUGUGCAAAUUGGAGCUACAUUUAAUUUAGUUUCACAAUGUAAGAAUUAUGUAUGUGAAAUCUUGAUUGAAAUCGAGAUCUCUGUUUUGUCUGAGCUUGUAAGUUGAUGUGUGGCGAUCUUUUAGUGAGAUUUGAACUCGAGGCCCUCCAAUACCUCCAGUGGUAUCUGAGGUUCAUUUUCAUCAUUGGAAACUGAGCAUCGAAAAUAAUAAGCAAUUAGUUUUCUUGGGGAGAAAAACAGAAACAUAGAAAAAGCAUCACCUUGAGGCUUGAACAAGAACUGCUGCAAGAAACAGUAUGAAUAAGAAAGAGAUUUAAUUGUUACUGCUGAGCUCUAUCUGUGUAUUAAUUGUUUGUCACUUGUCAAUAGUUUUUAACUGCCUCCUGUUUGGGAAGCACGAAACAGAUUGAAUCCCUUAGCUCAACUUGACAACCAACAGCAAUAUUGAUGGAGGGUAGCAACGAAGCAGCAGAUCUGGAGAGACAAAUUGCAUCUGCAGCUCCUUCAAAUUGUUUGGUAAAAUACAAACAACUUAUAAACUGCAAAAAUAAGCUUUAAGAAAAAUAAGUUCCUCUAUCCCAACUUAUUUUUCAUAAUCUUAUAUGCAACCAUCAUUUUACAAAUAUUAUUCAACUAUUGUUUAUUUAUUUCUAUCGUGUAACUUUUCAAGUUCGUCCUCUUCAAUGUUCUCUCUCUUGAAACAUCUUAUGCAGCUCUAGUUUAAUUCGUUGCUCUUCUCAACAAAUCGAUGGCGGGAGCUUAUGCAGCUAUAGUUUCUCUGAUGAAUACAGUGGAGCAGAUCCAAAACCACCCUCAAGUUUCCACUUUUCUUGAUCAUUGCCAGAUUGAGAUCCUCCGCGAAAAGGUUUUCUUUCUUCCUAGAUUUUAUGCUGAUUGUGGAGAAAGGACAGAGGCUUGCGAAGGAGACAGCGCUGUUGCAGUGUAAGAAGGAAGCUAUUGAGGCAUUGCCCGAGCAUCUCAAAGAGGCUGCUUUAGUCCCGGAUUUGACUCCUUUUCCAGCAAACCGAUUUAUGGCAACACUGACCCCACCAAUCGAAGGCUAUAGCGAGAAGAUCAACGAGGCAGCAGCACGGAAGAGUGUUGAAGGGAAGAAGCGCAGAUGAUAAGAGGUUAGAAUGCUAUUUCAUAAUUCUUUCACAAUCAAAAGCUAUCAUGCAUGUUUAAGUGUUGGAAGGGGAGUCUUUACUUUGGGUGAUAGCUUACAUAGUUAACAAUAAUAUAGGCUAAUCCACUGCAUACAGUUUGAUGGAUUGAAUAAUUUUGAGCUUGUUUGAACAUCCAAUAUAAUUCUUCAAAUUCGCAAUCAUGUAUUGUUAAUCUCUUCCAUCGCCCUCUUAAAGAAUAAUCGUAAUCCCGUUGGAGGUUUUAACUGCAUAAAUUUUGACCUUUAAUAAACCUGCUGCUAGUAAGUGGCAUUCAAAAAGCAUGGCAAAGACUGAUUAAGAAAUCAAAUAAUUCUCAAUUCUCUUCUACUUCUCUACUUAUUUUUUUGGCCAAUUCUUUGGUAGAAAUGACUGAAAAUUUUCUAUUGUCACCAGGCGACGCCUCAGCAUGGGUUUGCGACUUCAAUUUGCAGUGAUCUUGGGCCUACGAUGACUAUAUUUCUUGCAACGAUUCGUUUCUACGUAGCUUUGGUUAGUUAAGUCACUAUGCAUUGAUAGUUGUUUGCUGCAAAUAAGAAUAUAGCAGUAGCCAUAUAGCAUUCUUCUUCAGCGGUUGUUUUUUACUUGCUACUCUUUUUUGAAUGGUAAUUGCGAAUCAUUGUGGAUCAUUUUAUUGCCUUCUUGAAUCUUGUCAUCUCAUAUUUAACAUUUCAAUUAUUAAAUGGAACAUGAAAUUCUAUGACACCAAAUAUUUCUUUAUUUGCUUUGAGCUAGCAGUUCAUGUUUGAAAAGGCAAGAAGUUGGAUAUUUUGUGUUUGGUUGAGGAUUUUACUUAAUUUUAACAUAAUGGACUGUAAUUUACAUUUAUCAAUAAAUAAUUGUGUUUUUAAAACAUAAUGCUACGAGCCUUAUUCCGUGAAGAGAAAUGUGAAGACGGCUCGAAUAUGUUCAAAGAGAUGCAAGCACUACAAGUGUCUCAAAGAUAAAGGCGUCAUUUCAAACAUAGUAACUUUACAUGCAAUGAUAAUAAAGUUACACGAGGUGUGCGUGUGUUGGCCAAGCGGUAAGGGGUUAAUGUCUAAGGCCAAAGGUCUUGGGUUCGAGUUCUAUGGCGCGGCCUUUAAAAUUUUUUUAUUUAAUACUGUUAAAUUAUCAAAAAAAAAAAAAAAAAAGUCACAGCAAAGGAUUCGUUCGAUGAACAAUUGAGGCUAAAAAUUCGAUGAUGCAAAUUGUAAAUAACAACUCUUGCUGAUUGUGUGCGUACAAUGUUUUUGUUCAAUGUCUUUUCCAAUCGAGCAAGAUGCAAGAUGCAAUUUUGUUGUUGGAUUGAAUGAGAAACAUAUUUGAUGCACGUUAUUUCGAUUUUGAUUAAACAUCUAUCAUUAUUUCGAUUUUAAUUAAACAUUUGCAGAGCGAAGGUAGAAAAUAGUGUUUUUUUUUACAAGCUUAAGAAACUUAUAUCAACAAAUAUAUUUUUUGUUUGUACAGUUUACAUAUUUCACUAAGAAAAGUGUGGUAAUUUUUUUGUUUAUAUUAAUAAACUAGUUCAAGAAAAAUGAAAAUAUGUAAACUGAUUUUUAGAAAUGAAAGCACAAUGAUCCAAUUUUAACAGAACGAAAGCACAACUUAAUUUUGAUAAUCAAAGUAAAUAAAAUUGAUCCACGAAUCAAAGUAGAAUGAGUAGGUUCUAGAUAUGAUAUUUUUUUGUUCACUAUCAUUAAAUAAUUAUUUGAUUUUUUCAUGUUCAUAGCAUAACUGAUAAGCUAGUAUUGUUAUAUACUAGCAGAAAUACGUACAUAUAAUUAAUGUUAUUUUAAUUGAUAAUUUAUUAUUUAAAAAAAAUCUAUUAAUUCAUUACUUUUAGAUGUAAUAAAUGUAAUAAAUCUAUUAAGUUAACGCACCCAUAAAGUAUUCUUUAUAGAUUUGGAUGACAAAUAAAUGUAUAUCAAAAUAGAUUUAUAUUUUAUAAACAUAAUAAUAAAUAUGUAGCAUGAGUAAAAUAGACAAUCCAUAAAUUGUGUCUUACAUUGCCUUACGCUCUUUUUCUAUUAGUAUAGAUUUAACAAAUGUAGUAUAAAAUUGUAAUUUUCUAGUGGGACCCCUCCAUCCAUAUUUAGAUGUAAUGACCAACUAAUUCAAUGUUUGAUGCGGUAUAUUAGGGUGGAUAAAUUGUAUUUCUAAUGUUUGAUGCGGUAGUUUAUUAAUAAGUGAAGCUCGCAUUUAUUUGGGGGCCCGUCGUAAUUUCACUGUAGCAAAAACAUAAUUAAUUCAGCGCCUAUGGAGAGAUUUCUAAUAUUGAUAGCUACAGUGGCUGAGAUUAUAAUUUAAGUAGUCGAAAUUGUCCCUUGCUUCAUUUUCAGGUGGUCAUUUCACAAUAUAAGUGGAGGGUAAGGUGGUCAUUUCACAAUAUAAGCUACACCAUAAUGUAUUUUAAUGUCUGCUAUCAAACAAUAAAUUCCUAUUAACUGGAGAUUAUUUAGGAGCUAUCAACCAAUGAUAAAUUUAAUUAAUUUCAAUAAAUGUGUAUUAUAAAUAAUUAAUCUCUAGAUUACCAUCAAACACCAUAAGAGUAUUUAAAAACUAUGACCAUAAAAAAAAUACAAAACCUGAAUUUAGGAGUUAUCACUAAUUUAGAUACUUUGACUAAUUCAUAACCAAAUAUAUUAAACUUUAUGAGCAAGAAAAAUAAGACAAAAUCCGUCCACCAAUUGCAAGGAAUUUAUCUUCAUUUCUGUUUUUAAUAAAGUCCUAUUCUUUAGGAUUAGUUGAGAUAUUUUAUUGUUUUCAGUUAUGUUUUUAUUUGGAAGACUAUUUAACACAACACCAACUUUGUUUAUUUUCAAUUAAAUUAAUGUGCUUUUGCACUUUUCUUAUCUAUCAUACACCUUUUUCAUUCAUCUCUUCCAAACCUUCUAAAAAAUUAUCACUUUAAAAGAAAAAUUAGAGUGAGAAUGAGGCGAAAUCACGCUGCCAUGAUUUUGGGAAGAAUUAUCUCCAAUUCUUCUUUCAAUUCAUCCACUCUCCCCAUUGCUUCUCUACACUCGUUUCUUGUCAAACCCAGAUUCAAUUUUGAUAAUCUCACCCACCAAAUUAGAUACUUCUCCCCCUAUCCCAGAUUCAAUCUUGAAUCUAUACGUGAGCCCAAUGAUGCCGUCGCUCUAUUUCGGGAAAUGGUGAGGGCGCAGCCGCUCCCUUAUGCUUCUGUUUUCAGUAAAUUGUUGAGUACUGUGGUCAAGAUGAAACAAUACUCUCUUGCCCUUCAUCUGAUCGAUGAAAUGCUUCAAAGGCAUGUUCCUGUAAAUCACUACACGUUGAGUAUUGCGAUUGAUUGCUAUUGCCGACUGAAAAGACCUGAUUUUGGGUUUGCGAUCUUAGGCAUUUUUUUCAAGCGUGGGUACGAGCCUACUGUGGUAACCUUCAACAUUCUCGUGAAGGGCCUUCUGUUUGUUGAAAGGAUCCCAGAGGCAGCUAAAUUGUUGGGGAAGCUGUCGGCCUACCAACUGUGCGAGCCCGAUGAGUAUACGUAUAGUACUAUAAUUAAUGGGUUAUGCAAAGCUGGAGAUAUUCUACAGGCGAUUGAUUUGCUCUGCUCAUUGGAAAAAGGAAAAGGGAGCUGCAAACCCGAUGUCUAUGCUUACAGCAUAGUCAUUGAUGGUCUAUGCAAGAGCGGAAAGGUGGACGAAGCCCUCCAACUCUUCUUCACUUUGGGUGAUAGGGGGAUUUCACCAAAUGUCGUGACAUAUAGUUCAAUAAUAGAGGGGUUGUGCAAGAUGAGAAGAAUGGACGAGGCUCAAGACAUUUUAAAGAAGAUGAUAGCUAAUAAGGUAUGCCCAAAUGUGUGGACGUGUAGUAUCUUUGUGGAUGCUUGGUGCAGAGAUGGAAUGGUGGAAGAGGCUGAACAUAUGUUGGUAUCUAUGAAGGAGAUUGAUGUUCAACCCAACAUUGUCAUAUACAAUGCAUUGAUUGAUGGGUACUGUUUGCAAGGAAAAGUGGAUGAUGCCGAACGCAUUUUCCAAUUAGCAGUGAAUUCUGGAAUCAAUCCCGAUAUCAUAAGCUACACUAGCUUGAUGAACGGGUAUUGCAAAAUUGGGCGAGUUAAUAAAGUUUCGCGUAUUUUUAGCGAAAUUCGCACCGAAGGGU
rnacentral:lncRNA from 1 species